rnacentral:rRNA from 1 species
AAGGGGAGUGGCAGACGGGUGAGUAACGCGUGGGAACGUACCUUUCGCUUCGGAAUAUUCCCGGGAAACUGGGAGCAAUGCCGAAUACGCCGUAUUGGGAAAGAUUUAUCGGCGAAAGAUCGGCCCGCGUUAGAUUAGCUAGUUGGCGGUGUAAUGGACCACCAAGGCUACGAUCUAUAGCUGGUCUGAGAGGAUGAUCAGCCACACUGGGACUGAGACACGGCCCAGACUCC